CCGAUCUGGAUCUUCCCGAACACAGCUGCCAUAGCCUCAUGUGUGUACCAGUAUCUGUGUGGAUGGAUUUUACCGGGUUUAACGGAAGAAGUUGAUCAUCGGCAGCAGAAACCGGGAGCAGCAGGAGAUGAAUUACUCGGGGAAUGGAUUCAAAAGCAGCGUUCGCUCUUUCCGAGCCUUUUCUUCUCCUGCGUGGAGAUUUGACAGACGACGCGCCGGCUGCAAGGACUCACAGCAAGGUGAAGGGCAAAUGAAACGCGUCCUCCCGGGAAUCUGUGCACGAGCUUUGAAGUGUGGAAUGAGAUUGUGUGGUGUGGAAAAACAAGGCAAGG